rnacentral:misc_RNA from 1 species
AACAUCUCAACUCUCAUGGCUUGCCGUGAUGAGCUUGGACUUUGGGGGUCUUGCUGGCCUGUGGUCAGCUCCUCUCAAAUGAAUUAGCCUGCCGGUGUUUGGUGGGAUCACAGGUGUGAUAACUAUCUACGCUUGUGGUUUUCCACCAGGUAACCCUCAGCAAUGGAGGUUCACUGGAGCUUAUAAAUGUCUCUCCCCAGCGAGGACAGAUUUCGACC